AUGGAUGACGCAUCACUGGUCUAUUAAUAGUUACAUGGGUUUAAUCGAAAUUGAAGACAUUACACGUAGAAACUGUACAAAGCAUCAUAAUAUUCGUUUAUUCAACCAAAUCAAUGUUAAAAAUGUCACGAGGGAUUCAGAAAGUAAAUAUUGAUGAUGACAAUGAUGAUGUUGAUUUUAUGGAAAUCGAUGAUGACGAUGAUUCUGAUAAUAAAGAACGAGAUUAUAUGACCAUUGAAGAGCUACAGAUUCGACGAUUUCUGAAUGAACAAAAACGACAAAUAGACAAAAUAAAACAACAACACGGUGGACUGGGCAAAGCGAUAGGUGAAAUGAAAAGAGAUUUGGGGAUAGGGAAUGACCAAGAUAGUAUGAGCAGAAGGGAUGAAAGGCGCCAAGAUUUAGAACUAUUGCAUCGCAAAAUGGCACAACUUGAACAGCGAUUUGGAAGUAGGGGCGAACAGCAAUUUAGAAGUAGGAACGAUCGGCAAUUUAGAAGUAGGGACGAACGGCAAUUUAGAAGUAGGGACGAACGGCAAUUUAGAUGUAUGAUCGAACGACGAUUUGGAAGUAAGGACGAACCUGAAACAACAGGCUGAUGAUUCAAGGUCUAAACAUCUUGACUUGUGUGCCCUAAUAAUACAACUUAGUAUCCAGAGAUAUAGACAAAUGUUAUUGUUUACUGCAACAAUUUUAAGUUACUUAUUCAGUUGCCAUAUUUCUUUUUGUUUGUGUUAGCAUGUCCCAACAUUUAGUUAAUUUUCUUAAAUAUUAGCAUAGCCCGAUAUUUAGUUAAUUUUUCUUGAAUAUUGGUAUCUUCUGAUAUUUAAUUAUUAUUCUUCAGUAAUAAAAUUACCCGGUAUUUAACCGUUUUAAAUAUUGGUACCUCCUGAGAUUUAAUUAGUUUUCUUAAAUCAUAAAUUCACCCAGUAUUUAAUCUUUUUAAAUAUUUGCAUUGUCCAAUUUCUGCUCAGCUAUAAAUUCGUAUAACCAAGAUGAUUAAAUUAUUAGUAUAUAAAUUUUUAUAUGGAAAAUGUGUAUGGUAUAUAAUAAAAUAUAAAAUCUUUAA